AUAACAUUUGGAAACAGAUGCUAAUACCGCAUAAAACCUAACACCGCAUGGUGUAGGGUUGAAAGAUGGUUUCGGCUAUCACUUUAGGAUGGACCCGCGGGUGCAUUAGUUAGUUGGUGAGGUAAAGGCUCACCAAGACCGUGAUGCAUAGCCGACCUGAGAGGGUAAUCGGCCACACUGGGACUGAGACACGGCCCAGACUCCUACGGGAGGCAGCAGUAGGGAAUCUUCCACAAUGGACGAAAGUCUGAUGGAGCAACGCCGCGUGAGUGAAGAAGGUUUUCGGAUCGUAAAACUCUGUUGUUGGAGAAGAAUGUAUCUGAUAGUAACUGAUCAGGUAGUGACGGUAUCCAACCAGAAAGCCACGGCUAACUACGUG
rnacentral:rRNA from 1 species